rnacentral:rRNA from 1 species
AGAGUUUGAUCAUGGCUCAGGAUGAACGCUAGCGGCAGGCUUAAUACAUGCAAGUCGAGGGGCAGCAGGGGUGUAGCAAUACACUCGCUGGCGACCGGCAAACGGGUGCGGAACACGUACGCAACUUACCCUUAACUGGGGGAUAGCCCGGGGAAACCCGGAUUAAUACCCCGUAACAUAUUGAAGAGGCAUCUCUUUAUUAUUAUAGCUCCGGCGGUUAAGGAUGGGCGUGCGGCUGAUUAGGUAGUUGGCGGGGUAACGGCCCACCAAGCCUGCGAUCAGUAACUGGUGUGAGAGCACGACCAGUCACACGGGCACUGAGACACGGGCCCGACUCCUACGGGAGGCAGCAGUAAGGAAUAUUGGUCAAUGGACGCAAGUCUGAACCAGCCAUGCCGCGUGAAGGAUGAAGGUCCUCUGGAUUGUAAACUUCUUUUAUAUGGGAAGAAACUAUCGGAUUCCUCCGAUAUUGACGGUACCAUAGGAAUAAGCACCGGCUAACUCCGUGCCAGCAGCCGCGGUAAUACGGAGGGUGCAAGCGUUAUCCGGAUUCACUGGGUUUAAAGGGUGCGUAGGAGGGCAGGUAAGUCAGUGGUGAAAUCCUCAAGCUUAACUUGAGAACUGCCGUUGAUACUAUCUGUCUUGAAUACCGUGGAGAUGAGCGGAAUAUGUCAUGUAGCGGUGAAAUGCUUAGAUAUGACAUAGAACACCAAUUGCGAAGGCAGCUCGUUACACGAAUAUUGACUCUGAGGCACGAAAGCGUGGGGAUCAAACAGGAUUAGAUACCCCCGUAGUCC